rfam:Vigna angularis cultivar Jingnong 6 chromosome 10, whole genome shotgun sequence.
GUGUAAAAAGUUAAUGACGUCCAUUGCAUUUAACGAAAAAGUGAUCAAUUUGGUCCCUAAUUUAACAAAAUUGAGUCAAUAAUCCCCUUUCCGUUAAAUGCAAUGGACGUCAUUAACUU